rnacentral:rRNA from 1 species
UACGAGGGGGGCAAAUGUUGUUCGGAAUCACUGGGCGUAAAGGGAGCGUAGGCGGGUUCUUAAGUUAGGUGUUUAAUCCCGGGGCCCAACCCCGGACCGGCACUUAAAACUGGGAAUCUUGAAUAGUGGAGAGGUCAGUGGAAUUGGGGGUGUAGCGGUGGAAUGCGUAGAGAUCCCCAAGAACACCAGUUGCGAAGGCGGCUGACUGGACACAUAUUGACGCUGAGGCUCGAAAGCGUGGGGAGCGAACAGG